GAAGGUAAAGUUACCUCAGUAUCAGUUGGAUCGGGAAGACAUGAAGGAACAAGGUCUUAGCUCAGCUUUUCGUCUCAGCCUCUUCAACCCUAAAUCGACUCUGUACUCCCUCUCCCUGCAGUUCCUCUCCGUCCGUCCGUCGCUCGCCUUUCGUCUCCGACUCUCCGGCUCCGACUCUCCUUGAAUCUCUCUUUACCGUUCAAACGGGAAGUGAGCCCACCAUUUUCACUGCUCAGUCACAGUGAAGCUCUGAAGCUCAGAGCUGCAGAAACCUUCCAAGAUUCCUUCUCCGGUCGGAGCUUUUGCCUCUUCGAACCGGCUAGCCAAUGGAGAAUUCGGCUGCCGAGAGUCUCCGAGCUCGCAAUGAAGAAGAAUCAGCUUCAGAUUCCCUCCACAGUUCCCAGAUUUCGCUGUUCGUUCCUCCGUCUCCCCUGCUUCUGUGAAGCUGAAGAAGGAGGUUUUUUGGCAAUGCCGUGCUAGUUUCUCGCUCCAAUCCGUCGCUUCGCAGGAUAAGUGGCUUCGAUUUCACUCUAGAGUCAGGGAAGCCAGCCAUUGGUGGGUUGCUUACUUAAGUAUAAAUACGAUCAUUAAUUAUCUCUCCCCUGAGUUUCGCCGUUCUCUGCUUUCCGUUCUCUCCUGUGCGGUUCGGUUGUCAGAUUGCCCAGGUGAGUCCUGCUUUUACAUUGGUUUGUCGUGUUUAUCUCCUGUUCUUUGCCCAUGUAGAUGACUUUACUUCACCGCGAAAGUGUUUCCUACUGAUAGAUUUGGGAACCCUGUGAUAUGCUAUUUUUUGCUGCUUCUCUUGCGUUUUUGUUUCUGUAUAAGUACCUGGACUUCUAAUGGAUUGUAAUGAGAUUACAUUUUGCAUCAAUGGUAUUUUUGGUUUAAGAGCUA